GAUGAACGCUGGCGGCGUGCCUAAUACAUGCAAGUCGAGCGAACGGACGAUAAGCUUGCUUCUCUGAUGUUAGCGGCGGACGGGUGGGUAACACGUGGAUAACCUACCUAUAAGACUGGGAUAACUUCGGGAAACCGGAGCUAAUACCGGAUAAUAUUUUGAACCGCAGGGUUCAAAAGUGAAAGACGGUCUUGCUGUCACUUAGAGAUGGAGCCGCGCUGCAUUAGCUAGUUGGUAAGGUAACGGCUUACCAAGGCAACGAUGCAUAGCCGACCUGAGAGGGUGAUCGGCCACACUGGAACUGAGACACGGUCCAGACUCCUACGGGAGGCAGCAGUAGGGAAUCUUCCGCAAUGGGCGAAAGCCUGACGGAGCAACGCCGCGUGAGUGAUGAAGGUCUUCGGAUCGUAAAGCUCUGUUGUUAGGGAAGAACAUAUGUGUAAGUAACUGUGCACAUCUUGACGGUACCUAAUCAGAAAGCCACGGCUAACUACGUG
rnacentral:rRNA from 1 species